CUUUAAAAGGAGAGGUGGAAGAAGUAGACCAUAACUCACAGACAACAGAGAGACAACCAGUGAAUCCUGUGGAAGAGUGCAGAAGGAGACUAUCACAAUGGCGAUAUUGACCAUCAUUCUGCUUGUCAGCACAGCUUUUGCUCUGGGAGAUGCUACGAUACGACCCAAGACCCCAUGUGAGCGUGCUAGAGAUGCCGCGACACAUGGCCCAAUUGGAGCCUACAUCCCAACGUGUGACACCGCAGGACAAUACACCCCUAAGCAAUGUUGGGC